UAGUAUAGGCAUUUGAGACCUCAAUUAUGUGUGCUCAUGUAUCCAGCUAGAAUCUUUACUGCUCAUAACAAAGACUAUAGCUUGAAUUUAUAAAUUUUGUCAAACAAUCAAGUUCUGUUCCAACAUUCUUUUUUUGCUUAUUCAGGACAUAUUUAGAUUAUAUUAUUUAAGGAAAAAAAAUCUCUCUCUCUCUGUUCUUUCUUAGCAGUUUUUUGAGAAAAUUUUGAACAAAAAAAAAACAAUUAUUUCCUAAAAUUAAUUUGUAGCCAAAUGUUGUCUUACUGAUUUUGAAGGGCACUUAAGAUUUUUUUUCUAUGCAAAGCUUAUACGCAAAACGUUUCCUUUUGAAGGUAUCUAUUCACUGUUUGAAUUAGGGAUAAGAGGAAGAUACUGCACGAUUUCUUAAAUAUGCAAAGCAUAAAGAAAUCUAUACUGAGUCAUGAAUUUGAGAAGGUCAACCGAAAGAUGGUUCUUUGCCGGGGAUGUGAAUGCGCUUGUGCAUUUGAGAUGUUGUGCUCUUAAACUGGUGUCAGCUCUGAUCUGAUACUGGACAGAGUAAUUAAACUGGUCAAGAAGUAUGACAAAAUUGAGCUGCAAAGGUUACUGAAACAGCUGAUUUUCAGAAAGACUUGAGCUGGAUAGCUUGGACAGGGUAGAGCUCAUUAUGGCUCUUGAAGAAGAAUUUUGCAUCGAAAUCCCUGAUGAUAAAGCAGAUAAGCUUACUUGCUGUGCUGAUGUUGCAAAGUACAUAGUCUUUGUUGCCAACCACAAAAAUAAGG